CUCCUCCUUCACAGGCACACGCCAGAUUCCCCAUUCUUCCCUCCCUCCUCCUUCACUGGCACACGCCAGAUUCCCCAUCCACAGCCGGCGAUCUGUGGUGGCCGUCCCUCCCCUUCGUCACCACUGCCAGCCGCCGCGGAGGCCCCUGAUGCGCCCCGCCCCUUCCCUUCGUCACCCCUGCCGGCCGCCGUGGAGGCCCGUGAUGUGCCCCGCCCCUCCCCUUCGUCACCAUUGCCAGCGGGCGCAUAGGCCCUUGAUCUGCCCCGCCCCUUCUUCGUAUAAGGUCGCCGAGGUGCUCGAGCUCGGCAUGCGCGUCGGCGACGCCGGGGCCCUCCCUCCUCCUGACGCACUCACCGUCGCCGCCAUGAGCGUCUCCACCUUCUCCCGCGUGCCAUGAACUUCCCUUCUCCCCCUGCUCGGGACGCCAGCAAGUCCGAAGCAAGAGCUCGCGAUCUGCAGUUCCUUCCUUCCAUGGAUGACCACGAAGACCUCUGCGUGCUGUGCUGCUGCUCGGGACCCUCCCUAUGCUUCUCAUCGCUCGUCCGGGUCCAGGUCCCCUUGCAGGACCAGACUCUGUGGUUGGCCCUGAUGUUGACGUCCACGCAGCCAGAAGGCAGAAGAUGAUAUUGGCUCUGCUGUUGAGCCGCAAACAUAGAAUGUUGCUUUGACAUGUACAUAAUUUGUGAUUUAUUGGUGGGGAAAUGAACUUCUAUUAUUUAUCCCGACGUAUCUGCUUGGGACAAUGAAGUUAUAUUCUUUA